UGGUGGUUAUAGCAUAAGAUGAAACACCCGUAUUACAUUCUGAACACGGAAGUUAAACUUUUUUGCGCCGAUGGUACUGUUUUAUGUGGGAGAGUAGGUACUGCCAG
rnacentral:rRNA from 1 species